UGAUUGGUUAAGGCUCCCAGUAGACGACUGGGUUGAUAGGCCAGAUGUGGAAGCCCGGUAACGGGUGGAGCUGACUGGUACUAAUAGGCCGAGGGCUUGUCCUCAGUUG
rnacentral:rRNA from 1 species